rnacentral:rRNA from 1 species
UACGGAGGGUGCGAGCGUUGUCCGGAAUCAUUGGGCGUAAAGGGCGCGUAGGUGGCCCGGUCAGUUCGUGGUGAAAGCGCGGGGCUCAACCCUGCGUCGGCCAUGAAUACUGCCGCGGCUGGAGCACUGUAGAGGCAGGCGGAAUUCCGGGUGUAGCGGUGGAAUGCGUAGAGAUCCGGAAGAACACCGGUGGCGAAGGCGGCCUGCUGGGCCAGUUGCUGACACUGAGGCGCGACAGCGUGGGGAGCAAACAGGG